UGACCUAAGUUCUGCACAGAGGCGAGAAGGGAAAAAUAGUGCCUGAGAGACCUGAAGUCCCCUACACCUCCUGCCAGCCUGUUUCCUCGAGAAAUAAUGCCCCCUUUCUGCUCGCGGGCGUGUUCCCUGCUUCCGCUUGUAAGCAGCCCAGGCUACAGUGUGUACCACAAGGGGGUAAGCAAAGAUUUUCCAUCGCCCAUCGGAAUGAGUGGCUGGUGUGCCUCGCCGGUGUCAGCGUGGCUCCGUGACUCCGGCGAGGCCGGUCCCGGCGCUGCGCGGGAGCGGAG
rnacentral:lncRNA from 1 species